rnacentral:rRNA from 1 species
GGGAACGUGCCCUUCGGUUCGGAAUAACUCAGGGAAACUUGAGCUAAUACCGGAUACGCCCUUUUGGGGAAAGGUUUACCGCCGAAGGAUCGGCCCGCGUCUGAUUAGCUUGUUGGUGGGGUAACGGCCUACCAAGGCGACGAUCAGUAGCUGGUCUGAGAGGAUGAUCAGCCACACUGGGACUGAGACACGGCCCAGACUCCUACGGGAGGCAGCAGUGGGGAAUAUUGGACAAUGGGCGCAAGCCUGAUCCAGCCAUGCCGCGUGAGUGAUGAAGGCCUUAGGGUUGUAAAGCUCUUUUGUCCGGGACGAUAAUGACGGUACCGGAAGAAUAAGCCCCGGCUAACUUCGUGCCAGCAGCCGCGGUAAUACGAAGGGGGCUAGCGUUGCUCGGAAUCACUGGGCGUAGAGGGCGCGUAGGCGGCCGAUUAAGUCAGGGGUGAAAUCCCAGAGCUCAACUCUGGAACUGCCUUUGAUACUGGGUAUCUUGAGUAUGGAAGAGGUAAGUGGAAUUGCGAGU